rnacentral:rRNA from 1 species
GUUAAAAAGCUCGUAGUUGGAUUUUGGUUAAGAGGGCGCGGUCGGCCGUUUGGUCUGUACUGCGUUGUCUUGACUUCCUGAUGAGGACAUGCUCUUGGUUAACGCUGAGACAUGGAGUCAUCGUGGUUACUUCGAAAAAAUUAGAGUGUUCAAAGCGGGCUUACGCUUGAAUAUAUUAGCAUGGAAUAACACUAUAGGACUCCUGUCCUAUCUCGUUGGUCUCGGGAUGGGAGUAAUGAUUAAGAGGAACAGUUGGGGGCAUUCGUAUUUCAUUGUCAGAGGUGAAAUUCUUGGAUUUAUGAAAGACGAACUUCUGCGAAAGCAUUUGCCAAGGAUGUUUUCAUUAAUCAAGAACGAAAGUUGGGGGCUCGAAGAUGAUUAGAUACCAUCCUAGUCUCAACCAUAAACGAUGCCGACUAGGGAUUGGUGGAUGUUAAUUGAUGACUUCACCAGCACCUUAUGAGAAAUCAAAGUUUUUGGGUUCCGGGGGGAGUAUGGUCGCAAGGCUGAAACUUAAAGGAAUUGACGGAAGGGCACCACCAGGCGUGGAGCCUGCGGCUUAAUUUGACUCAACACGGGGAAACUUACCAGGUCCAGACAUAA